UUCUCAUAGAUAUGAAUGAGUAGAUAGGACACGCCCCUUUGAGCUGCGUGCUACAGCGAGGCUAAGCUAGUGGGGGCAAAGUUUCAGUGCAUUCCGUUGAUGUAGACGGCGUGAAAACGGAAACAACAAGUAUGCCGGCUCACUGUACUGCAUACAGUUACACACUGCGUCGUACGAUUGAGACAAGGAAACUUGGAAUGACUUUUCAUAGGUCCCUCUCUAUCUCCCCACACAUUCACCAACCACUGGAACACAUCUCCAAAGUUCUGCCGGGCCAGCUCAGCUUCCCCUCAGAAGAAGUGGCGCCACCUGCCAGAUGAAGGAGCCUUUUGAGAGGCAGCUGGCAUCGUGAUUGGACUGUACUUUGGUCUGUUCCAAUCCACCUUCAGCUCCAGAGACGGCAGGCGGGACGAGUCAACGGAGGCCUGGUGGACGAAGGCAUGCAGCUGAGUACAAUCCAGAAAACAACAGAGGAGGAGUGCAGGGCCAGAACAACCAGAGUAGCAUCUUAUGUCUCUUAGAAAACAUCAUAGUAUAGCCUUUGGUAUGAAAAAACGCCAUCAUAUACAUCGAAUAUUGUACAAAUAACAAGUCAAAGGAAAGAGACAUACAUUGUAGGAUUGUAGUAAUUGUGGGCUGACUGAUUUACUGAUUAUCAGAAUUUUAUUUUUUACUGAUUUAUGGUAAUAAAUAUAUUUAAAAAUGGUGCUACUUUGGCUCUGAACCUUUAUCUACCUGUGGUCGCUCUGUCUUCUGGAGUGAUUUGAUUGGUUAUACGUAACGAAUAAAACUCCUUUAACUUAACAUCUGUAAACAAAACAAAAACUUAUCAACAAAGUUUUCUGUUAGAGUUUGUGUUCUUCUAAGUUUAACUCCAAGAUUUUAAAUACUUUCAUUUACUGCAAAUGAAUAUCUACUCCAAAUGUCUCACUAAUAAUCACUAUCAGCCUUAAAAACCCACAAAACACCCCUCUAUACUCGACCACACUUAGUACAGUCUGGUUCCCCCUUCUAUAAAUCUGCUUGGAAUCGUCCACUUCCUGUUUGUCAAAGUGGCCUUCUACCUGGACAGGUUCUGUUGGAGCUCAUGCAACAAACAUUUUGGGUAACUGCAUUUUAAUAUGGAUGGAUGACACUGAAUUAGAGUCUGUUUUCAUGAGACUGAGUUAAGAUGUGUAGCUCUGUCAUUAAAUAGUAAAUUAUUUCUCAGAAUUCACAGAGAAAAGUCUGAAGUGUUUGCUAGGUUAGCGUCCCACAUGUUCUUUGGCUCAGGUAAAGCUAACUCUCUCCAACUUCUGGAUCUCUUGAGUUGCUUGUUGUUAAAUUAUCUUGCUAGAGGUGCUGAAGCUCAGAAAGUCUGAGAUGUUUGUUCAAAAUAAGCUCAUUCUCAAGUCUUCUCUGAACUGUCCUCUUUUGUUUGAACUUUCCCUAAACUUAGGAGUUAAUGACAGAGCAGCACAUCAGACUCAGUCUCAUUUAUGUAGAGAUUAAACUUCAGUGUCAUUCAUUGAUGUUAAAGUGCAGUUUUUCAAAUGUUUGUUGCACAUGCUCCCGACCAAACCAGUUCAGGUGGAAGAUGUGAAGAGAAAGCUCCAGAGGAUGAAUAUCACACAUUUACAUUGGAAAUUAAUGUCCUUUAAUUAGACAUUGUCAUGCAAAAGUUGGAUUUCCCUUUAAUGAUGUUCAAAUUUUUGUUGAGUGUUUUGUUGAUGUUGGUUUCUAAAUGUUUUUUGGCACUCGGCCCCAAAGAUUAAAACCUUCUACGGCUCACAAGCUGCAACAAUUCA